UCCCUGGUGGCUCAGAUGGUAAAGCGUCUGCCUGCAAUGCGGGAGAUCCAGGUUCGAUUCCUGGGUUGGGAA
rnacentral:tRNA from 1 species